UGCUGAAAAGUUUUUAGCUAAACGAGCAGCUCACCUAAUGUCCAUAGACAUCAUUAGAAGCCUGUUGUCUAACUUUGCUAGAACUUCCUCUGCACAACAGCAAUCCAAAAGACUAACCAAAAUAGAAACUCUCAACUACAAAGUUUGGGCCAACAUUUGUUUAAAGCUAUUGCAAAGCAAAGAGGUGGAAAAUGAAUUCAGGGAAUUUAAGCAAGCACUGGUCGAUGGGGGAAGAAGAAGAAUGCCCGGCAGCCGGAAAUGCAGCAGCACCAUGAGGAAGCAGAUCGGACAAGUUGGCAAAGAUGGUCGACUGUCAGACGUGGAAGGCUACUGUCUGGCAGGCAGUCAAGUGCUCACGACUCCCGACUCCGGACUUUCGAGCAAGAACAAGUCGCCAGAAUUGUUAUUUCUGAUUUUGUUGCAACUGCAGCUGAGCUCCUUUUUGUUAUUUUUCCGCUUUUUUCACACCGUCGGGAACGGUGUACUGUAUAUACGUACUCUACAUGGUAGAGUCGCACUUGGUGGUUGGAUUUGA
ensembl:ncRNA lncRNA:CR34024 long non-coding RNA:CR34024